rnacentral:rRNA from 1 species
CCUACGGGCGGCUGCAGUGAGGAAUAUUGGUCAAUGGGCGAGAGCCUGAACCAGCCAAGUCGCGUGAGGGAGUACUGCCCUAUGGGUUGUAAACCUCUUUUGUCGGGGAGCAAAAGCCGGACGUGUCCGGCUGUGAGCGUACCCGAAGAUAAGGCAUCGGCUAACUCCGUGCCAGCAGCCGCGGUAAUACGGAGGAUGCGAGCGUGUGCAGGAUUUGUGGGGGUUAAAGGGUGCGCAGGCGGAUAUUUAAGUCAGCGGUAAAAUCGUGGGGCUCAACCCCAUCCAGCCGUUGAAACUGGGGCUCUAGAGUGUGCGAGAGGAAUGCGGAAUGCGUGGUGUAGCGGUGAAAUGCAUAGAUAUCACGCAGAACCCCGAUGGCGAAGGCAGCAUACCGGUGCACAACUGACGCUCAGGCACGAAAGCGUGGGUAUCGAACAGGAUUAGAUACCCUGGUAGUC